AAUGACCAACUUUAGCCGGUUGAAGCCGGGCCAAAUCGUUACAAAAGCCUGUACAAAACAAAAACGCAGGUCCCGAUACAUUUGGUCCCCUUCAACCAGCUGUGGUUGGCAUGCCGU
rnacentral:pre_miRNA from 1 species